UACGUAGGGUCCAAGCGUUAUCCGGAAUCACUGGGCGUAAAGCGUGCGUAGGUGGCGUGUUAAGUGUGAUGUUAAAUCGUGUGGCUCAACCAUAUCGAUGUGUCGCAUACUGGCAUGCUAGAGGACAGCAGAGGCAAGUGGAAUUGGUAGUGUAGCAGUGAAAUGCGUAGAUAUUACCAGGAACACCAAUGGCGAAGGCAGCUUGCUGGGCUACUCCUGACACUGAGGUACGAAAGCGUGGGGAGCGAACAGG
rnacentral:rRNA from 1 species